AUCUUUCUCAUCAGGAGAAUCUCCACUGGUCUCAUCUGUGUCUCCUAUAACAGGUACAGACUCACUGUUUUCUGUCAGUCACUCAGUUUUGAUCUUCAGAGUGAUUGAGUGAAUCUCUGGUGUUUGCAGGCUCUUCUCUGAUCAUCAGUGUGUCUGUGCUUCUGCUUCUGAUCUUCACUGUGAUUCUGAUAGUGAUCAUCACUCUCUGGAGGAGACGGCAGUUGCACAGUAAAACUCCUUUUACUUUCUUUAAAAGACAAUUUAAUAAAUGCAUUGAGAUGUGAUAUGAUCCACAUGGGUGUAAAAUUGUGUUCAUCUGUUUAUUUUUGACAGACGCUCAUUCCUCAUUCAAAAGAUCUCAAAGGACACCAGCAAACAUUGACGCGGCUUCUCAUUAUCAUUGUGAUUACGAGGAGACUGAAUACAAUCACAGACAAUUACCCACAAACCCCUCUGAUUCUACUAAUGCAAUCUAUGCUAAUCCAGAAUUACCCACAAACCCCUCUGAUUCUACUAAUACCAUCUAUGCUACUCCACAAUUACCCAUAAACCCUUCUGAUUCUACUAAUACAAUCUAUGCUAAUCCAGAAUUUCCAUAAACCCCUCUGAUUCUUCCAACAGCGUUCACACUUUAACAUCGCAGAAGUCCACGUCUUUCAGUCAUUAUCAUCCACUGAGGGUCUGAAUGACACAGACGGUCUUAAUGAUGUUCCUUCAACAAUUAUCUGUCUUUACAUUAAUGUCUGUCAUUGCAUGCAGCUGUGUGACUACAGUAAAUAUAUGUUAGCGAUCUGCUGUUUUUAAUUUAUUUGCUCAGUAAACACAACCAUUGCACCUGCUGAAGGGAUUUAUGUAAUUUUCUCAAUAUGUUUAAAACAUGGCAUGUAUUUGUGAACAAAAUAAAAGAUGACUGUUCUUUAUGACA
ensembl:lncRNA